rnacentral:rRNA from 1 species
UACGUAGGUGGCAAGCGUUGUCCGGAUUUACUGGGCGUAAAGAGCGCGCAGGCGGUCGUUCAAGUCGCGUGUGAAAGCCCCCGGCUCAACUGGGGAGGGUCACGCGAUACUGAUCGACUCGAAGGCAGGAGAGGGUAGUGGAAUUCCCGGUGUAGUGGUGAAAUGCGUAGAUAUCGGGAGGAAUACCAGUGGCGAAAGCGACACCCUGGCACUAGCCUGACGCUCAUGUGCGAAGGCGUGGGGAGCGAACGGG